rnacentral:lncRNA from 1 species
AACACACAGCUUCAGUGGAAAUGGAUCAGGAAGCAAAUAAAUGGAAAGGAAUUGUUGAUUCUAAAAAUAGCGAAAUCCAAAGAUUUAAAACAGAAUUAGAUUCCAUAUUAGACGUUUUAAAAUUACUCCAAAAACAAGGAGUUGUAAUACCUGUCAGUGCAGCAGUGUCAUAGCAGUCGCUCUUUCGUAGUUUUAAUAAUUUAAAAUUUGUAUUAAUAUUCCGUCC